rnacentral:snoRNA from 1 species
UUUUUGUGAUGACUUGAAUACACUUGGUCUGUGUUUCUGAAAUAACAUUAAGAUGAAAAUUUUUGCUUUACUGAGAAA